GACGAACGCUGGCGGCGUGCUUAACACAUGCAAGUCGAACGAAGAGCGAUGGAAGCUUGCUUCUAUCAAUCUUAGUGGCGAACGGGUGAGUAACGCGUAAUCAACCUGCCCUUCAGAGGGGGACAACAGUUGGAAACGACUGCUAAUACCGCAUACGAUCUAAUCUCGGCAUCGAGGAUAGAUGAAAGGUGGCCUCUACAUGUAAGCUAUCACUGAAGGAGGGGAUUGCGUCUGAUUAGCUAGUUGGAGGGGUAACGGCUCACCAAGGCGAUGAUCAGUAGCCGGUCGGAGGGGAUGAACGGCCACAUUGGGACUGAGACACGGCCCAGACUCCUACGGGAGGCAGCAGUGGGGAAUCUUCCGCAAUGGACGAAAGUCUGACGGAGCAACGCCGCGUGAGUGAUGACGGCCUUCGGGUUGUAAAGCUCUGUUAAUCGGGACGAAAGGCCUUCUUGCGAAUAGUGAGAAGGAUUGACGGUACCGGAAUAGAAAGCCACGGCUAACUACGUG
rnacentral:rRNA from 1 species